GAUGAACGCUGGCGGCGUGCCUAAUACAUGCAAGUCGAACGAACAGAUGAGGAGCUUGCUCCUCUGACGUUAGCGGCGGACGGGUGAGUAACACGUGGAUAACCUACCUAUAAGACUGGGAUAACUUCGGGAAACCGGAGCUAAUACCGGAUAAUAUAUUGAACCGCAUGGUUCAAUAGUGAAAGACGGUUUUGCUGUCACUUAUAGAUGGAUCCGCGCCGCAUUAGCUAGUUGGUAAGGUAACGGCUUACCAAGGCAACGAUGCGUAGCCGACCUGAGAGGGUGAUCGGCCACACUGGAACUGAGACACGGUCCAGACUCCUACGGGAGGCAGCAGUAGGGAAUCUUCCGCAAUGGGCGAAAGCCUGACGGAGCAACGCCGCGUGAGUGAUGAAGGUCUUCGGAUCGUAAAACUCUGUUAUUAGGGAAGAACAAAUGUGUAAGUAACUAUGCACGUCUUGACGGUACCUAAUCAGAAAGCCACGGCUAACUACGUG
rnacentral:rRNA from 1 species